rnacentral:lncRNA from 1 species
GCCGUUGGGAUGCCCCUGGGUUGCAAGCUUUGGACAGCGGUAGCCAAGGCUUGCACUUGUUGCACCAGGGCAUCAAACUGCUCCGGCCGAACUUGAGGGGUUGACUCGGCCGGAGGUGGUGAGUUCCGGACGGAAUGCUCAGGACUGGGUGGAGGACGUCGAGAGGCGUUGGAAGCCCCUGUGCUUCUUAGCUUCAUGGCAGCGAACUCGG